CGAACGCUGGCGGCGUGCUUAACACAUGCACGUCGAACGGAAAGGCCCUGCUUUUGUGGGGUGCUCGAGUGGCGAACGGGUGAGUAACACGUGAGUAACCUGCCCUUGACUUUGGGAUAACUUCAGGAAACUGGGGCUAAUACCGGAUAGGAGCUCCUGCUGCAUGGUGGGGGUUGGAAAGUUUCGGCGGUUGGGGAUGGACUCGCGGCUUAUCAGCUUGUUGGUGGGGUAGUGGCUUACCAAGGCUUUGACGGGUAGCCGGCCUGAGAGGGUGACCGGCCACAUUGGGACUGAGAUACGGCCCAGACUCCUACGGGAGGCAGCAGCGGGGAAUAUUGCACAAUGGGCGGAAGCCUGAUGCAGCAACGCCGCGUGCGGGAUGACGGCCUUCGGGUUGUAAACCGCUUUCGCCUGUGACGAAGCGUGAGUGACGGUAAUGGGUAAAGAAGCACCGGCUAACUACGUG
rnacentral:rRNA from 1 species